AAGACUUUACUUCAUAGGAUCAUUUCUAUAGGAAGUUCUUCACGAGACUAUGGCUCAGUCACUCCUAUGUUAGGGUAGG
rnacentral:snoRNA from 1 species